rnacentral:rRNA from 2 species
UGAUGGAGUGCUUGCACUCCUGAUGGUUAGCGGCGGACGGGUGAGUAACACGUAGGCAACCUGCCCUCAAGACUGGGAUAACUACCGGAAACGGUAGCUAAUACCGGAUAAUUUAUUUCACAGCAUUGUGGAAUAAUGAAAGACGGAGCAAUCUGUCACUUGGGGAUGGGCCUGCGGCGCAUUAGCUAGUUGGUGGGGUAAUGGCUCACCAAGGCGACGAUGCGUAGCCGACCUGAGAGGGUGAACGGCCACACUGGGACUGAGACACGGCCCAGACUCCUACGGGAGGCAGCAGUAGGGAAUCUUCCGCAA